rnacentral:rRNA from 1 species
GACGAACGCUGGCGGCGUGCUUAACACAUGCAAGUCGAGCGGUAAGGCUCCUUCGGGAGUACACGAGCGGCGAACGGGUGAGUAACACGUGAGCAAUCUGCCCUUCACUUUGGGAUAACCACCGGAAACGGUGGCUAAUACCGAAUACGACCACUUCAGGCAUCUGAUGGUGGUGGAAAGUUCCGGCGGUGAAGGAUGAGCUCGCGGCCUAUAAGCUUGUUGGUGAGGUAAUGGCCCACCAAGGCCUCGACGGGUAGCCGGCCUGAGAGGGUGCCCGGCCACACUGGGACUGAGACACGGCCCAGACUCCUACGGGGGGCAGCAGUGGGGAAUAUUGGACAAUGGGCGAAAGCCUGAUCCAGCAACGCCGCGUGAGGGAUGACGGCCUUCGGGUUGUAAACCUCUUUCAGCGGGGACGAAUCGAAAGUGACGGUACCCGCAGAAGAAGGACCGGCCAACUACGUGCCAGCAGCCGCCGUAAAAC